UAUAGCUGGGCCGCUGGGGGUGACAUCACAAGGAUUAAGAGAUUAAAGUAAAGACAAGCAUAAGAAAUUAUAAAAGUAUUAUUUGGGAACUGAUAAAUGUCCAUGAAAUCUUCACAAUUUAUGUUCCUGUGCCGCGGCUUCAGCGGGUCCCUCCAUUCGGGGGUCCCUGACUUCCCGCAACACUAAUCCCUUGGAAUUUCCCAAGUGAUAGGAGAAGCAGUGUUGUUUAUGGGGACCUCUGCUCAUGGUGUGGCUCAGGGCAGGCCCGGUUCAUUUCUGCUAUUUUGUGUUAAUGUAUUUGUUUUGUGUGUGUGCUCUUGUGCAUGCCUGUGCCUGUAUGUGCACAUGUGUGCAUGCAUGCAUGUGAGCAUAUGUACCUUUCAUGUGCCAAGCACUGUUCUGGUGCAAAGAUGCAUCAUGAACAAGAGACAAAAAUUGCUGCUUUCAAGGAGUUUAUAUUCUUUUGGAGGAGACAGAAGAUGAGCAACAUAGAAAAAGAAACUAUACAAUGUUUUCCAUGUUACGAAUGCUGUGGGGAGAUAUGGACCCUGGCACAGGGUGGGGCUGGGCACCGGGCUGCAGUUCACUCUGGUUUGGUUAGGAAGUGGAAUGGGGGAGGUGAGCGUGGAGGGGAGAAGAGGGAGGUGAACAUCAGUCAGGGCAGGACACGUUAUGCUGCUGUAACAACAACACCCAAAACCCAGGCCCUCCUGCCCUGAAGACUUAUUUCUUCUCCAUGCUAUGUGUUCAUCCAUGUCAGUGUGGCUCUGGGCUGUGUCAUCUUUCAUCUAGAACCAGAAUGAUGAAGUUACCUUUCUCCAGAACAUUUCUGAAAUCAUGGUAAUGAGAACAAAAACUGCACCAUGUGCUG
rnacentral:lncRNA from 1 species